UACGUAGGGUGCGAGCGUUAAUCGGAAUUACUGGGCGUAAAGGGCGCGUAGGCGGCCUGUUAAGUCGAACGUGAAAUCCCCGGGCUCAACCCGGGAACUGCGUCCGAUACUGGCAGGCUUGAAUCCGGGAGAGGGAUGCGGAAUUCCAGGUGUAGCGGUGAAAUGCGUAGAUAUCUGGAGGAACACCGGUGGCGAAGGCGGCAUCCUGGACCGGUAUUGACGCUGAGGCGCGAAAGCCAGGGGAGCAAACGGG
rnacentral:rRNA from 1 species